CACACGACCGUACCGCAAAUCGACACUGGUGCGCGAGAUGAGUAUCCUAAGGCGCUUGAGAGAACUCAGGAGAAGGAACUCGGCAAAUUGACACCGUAACUUCGGAAGAAGGUGUGCCUUUCGUAGGUGAAGGGAUUUACUCCUAGAGCCCAAUGAGGUUGCAAAAAAUCGGUGGCUGCGACUGUUUAUUAAAAACACAGCACUCUGCAAACACGAAAGUGGACGUAUAGGGUGUGACGCCUGCCCGGUGCUGGAAGAUUAAAUGAUGGGGUGCAAGCUCUUGAUUGAAGUCCCAGUAAACGGCGGCCGUAACAAUAACGGUCCUAAGGUAGCGAAAUUCCUUGUCGGGUAAGUUCCGACCUGCACGAAUGGCGUAACGAUGGCCACACUGUCUCCUCCUGAGACUCAGCGAAGUUGAAAUGUUUGUGAUGAUGCAAUCUCCCCGCGGAAAGACGGAAAGACCCCAUGAACCUUUACUGUAGCUUUGUAUUGGACUUUGAACAGAUCUGUGUAGGAUAGGUGGGAGGCUUUGAAGUAGGGUCGCUAGAUCUUAUGGAGCCAACGUUGAAAUACCACUCUGGUGUGUUUGAGGUUCUAACCUAGGUCCAUUAUCUGGAUCGGGGACAGUGCAUGGUAGGCAGUUUGACUGGGGCGGUCUCCUCCCAAAGCGUAACGGAGGAGUUCGAAGGUACGCUAGUUACGGUCGGACAUCGUGACGAUAGUGCAAUGGCAUAAGCGUGCUUAACUGCGAGACUGACAAGUCGAGCAGAUGCGAAAGCAGGACAUAGUGAUCCGGUGGUUCUGUAUGGAAGGGCCAUCGCUCAACGGAUAAAAGGUACUCUGGGGAUAACAGGCUGAUACCGCCCAAGAGUUCAUAUCGACGGCGGUGUUUGGCACCUCGAUGUCGGCUCAUCUCAUCCUGGGGCUGUAGCCGGUCCCAAGGGUAUGGCUGUUCGCCAUUUAAAGAGGUACGUGAGCUGGGUUUAAAACGUCGUGAGACAGUUUGGUCCCUAUCUUCCGUGGGCGCUGCAGAUUUGAGGAAGCCUGCUCCUAGUACGAGAGGACCGGAGUGGACACACCUCUGGUGUAUCGGUUGUCACGCCAGUGGCAUUGCCGAGUAGCUAAGUGUGGAAGAGAUAACCGCUGAAAGCAUCUAAGCGGGAAACUCGUUUCAAGAUGAGAUCUGCCGGGGCCUUGAGCCCCCUAAAGAGUCGUUCAAGACCAGGACGUUGAUAGGUCGGGUGUGGAAGCGCAGUAAUGCGUUAAGCUAACCGAUACUAAUUGCUCGUGCGGCUUGACCCC
rnacentral:rRNA from 1 species